GCGGAAUACGCAAAAUCCGAAGCUCCGAAGUUCACUCCAUCGAAAACAAACGCCAGUGAGUUUAUCGGCUGUGUAGCUGCAACGAACUGAUCAAAAGACAAGAAUGAUCGGACGAGUUCAUCAUUGUGCAUUAGAAGGAAGAAAACGAGAUUUUGUUAUGCAAGUGCAUGGUGGUUAUCUUUGAAGCAGCAAGAAAUUCCCGUCCAAUUUGUAUGUUCUUAAUUCAUUUCUUACCUGCAAUACUCUGGUAGCUGUUGCUGUUGUCUUUUCAUAGUCUCUCUCUGCAAAUGCACUGGCUAGAAUUGCCUAAAAGAACAAGAAAGAAUCAAAUACCAUAAAAGGUAAGACUUUUUUCCUUCCAAGCUAUAUAAAUUGCCACUUAGAGAGGAAGUUAUGAAGUGGAGGUAGAAUUGGGCUUUUAUUUCUUCACCUGUCCAGCUACUGCUAAACCAUCAGACAAUAAAGAGGAUGUCAUCCAAACUUGCAAGCAAGUUUGGAAUGCAGCCAUGGGUGUUGGGCCCAGCCUUGCAGCUAAUGAUGCUGCAAGAGUCACACAGAAGGUAACUGCUACAACUCUUGCCAGCAACAAACCUCCUGCUCCCAUCCAUUCAAAGUUCAACAAGAGAUAAAGAAUGGUUGAUCUCAUAGUCUACUUAGUAUUGGAAAAUUGAAUUAAGAAUCGUUUGGGGAACAAUUUUUUUUACCAUUUUUAAGAAAUCGACCAAAUUGCAAAUCUUUAAGACUUGGAGGCAUGAGAUUGACUUUUUGCACCAGUCUCCAGAAGAGAAUGGUCACAAUAAAGUACCUGAAAGGAUUGAAGUAAGUUUUAGAGAAGCUUUUUUGGAAUGUGAAGACACGUUUUAUGCCAUUGUGGAGCAACAUUGUAAAGUUUUGGCAAUAUGACAGUGCAUAGAGAUUAAAACUUACUGAGAAAGAACAUGAGCAGCAGCUGCACCUUUGACCCCCCAAUGGCACACGAAGAUGAGAAUGGGGUCCAGUAUGAUGUUUACGGUAUAUCCAGCCACUACAUAAAGGCAUAUAAACAAAUGGUUGAUAGUCAAAGGAAGCUGAUAUAUUAGGUUAAACCAUAGAAGAAAAGGGACGGCAAUGCCUACCAAUAACGUAAAGAGGAGUCCUCGUAUCCUUGAACCCUCUAAAGAUCCCUUGCAUGGCCAAUGACAGAAGAACAGCAGGAGCACCAAGUGAUCUUAAUGUUAAGUACUUGUGAGCGGGGGCAAACAUGGGUGAAUUCUGUUUGUUGAAGUCCCAAACUAUUAGAGUAAGACAUUUGAUUUAAAACUGGACUACAUCUUUAAUGAUAGGGAGCACUCACAUCUUUUACUCCCAUUAGAUUCAGCAAAGAUUUGGCUCCAAAAAUAAGGAAUAUUGCCUGCAUUAGACCCAGAAUUGUGCCAAAUAUCAGAGCUGUGGAUGCUGAUGCAAUUUGCUUCUUCUCUUUCCUUUUGGACUUGGCAGAGGUAGACUUAAGUACUUUUGUACUCAAAUCUGGAAAAAGAAAGAAAAAAAAGUAAAAGAAAUGAGAAAUUAUUAAAAUCUCCUAAAUAUAACCAUCAAGUUUUGGUUUUACCUUUUUCCAGAUCAAGAGCACCAUUAUCUGGAAUCGGUUCCUUCGUACCAUUUUCUGUUGAAGAGCUUUCUUUGUUUUCUUUUACUCCAUCUUUUCCUAUGCUGAUAUUAAUCCUUGUUGGCUCAUGAUUCAAGUUGGCAUGUUCUUGUUUGGCUGCAAGUUUUUCUUCGUUUUCAUGAUCUUCAGACACAUAAACUUUCACUGAGUUAUCAUCAUCCAAGCAUUUCUCUGUGUCAACUUUUGCUGCUUUUUUGGCGGCUUUGCCAAUGGUAUCUUCCUCAGCGACGAAAGAUGUCGUAAUGCUUACAAGUGGGAAUAUGGUGAUCCUCGAAGCUUGAUUGAAUAUAGCAAUGGAUACUCCAACUGCAGCAAGUUCCACAGGCCCAAUAUGGCCAACGAAAGCAGUGUCUAUAAGAGAAGCUAUAGGAUCAGCUGCAACAGCUAGAGCAGCAGGCAGUGCGAUUCCAAGUAUCUCCCGACCAAUUUCAUCAUACUUGAAAACACGCCUACAUGUAUAAACAUAUAAAACAUACUAGCUAAUGUGAGACUUUGGUUAUGGAUAUUUGAGUCACAAAUUAUGGAUAAUUGAGUCACAAAUUUCUUUAUCAGUUCAGAGAUGGGAAAAAUAAUUGAAUUAUACGUUAGGAUUGGAAAAAAUCAUACUGUGAUUCUCAACAUAAAUUCAACAUCGAGUAUUUAAAGAAAA